rnacentral:lncRNA from 1 species
UUCUUCAUUAUGCCACCAUGGCAUUCGAUUUUGUCGCAGUGGCCUUCGAACACUCCGACGAUAUGCACGCAUGCGCCUCCAGGCGGUAUCUUCGCCUCCAAUUGCAUUAUCAGGUUGGGAGUAGCCUGGACACCUUCAGAUGUUUUCCGUUGCUCUUGCAUUCUUCUCUUACGUCGCACUUCCGAGCGUCUUUUUCUGCCCGAAUGACCGCCUGUCUCGCCAUCCCUGUUCAGAGUUUCACUUGUACCUUGCUGGCUCUCCGAAGACACAUUUCUAUGAGGGUGUACUGCUGGAGUAGUCCCUCGAGCCUGCGCUUGCUUGAUAGUGGUUUCUUCGAAGGACGCCAAACUGCUUGGAAUUGCUUCACUGUUUAGUUUGGAUAUAGGUGACCCCUCGGUGGCUGACUGUCUUCCCUGGGUUUGAAGACUUGCUUCGUUUGUUGGAGACCUUUGACUAUCGGCUUUCAGCUGGAAGUCAAAGUUGUCAGCCAGUUCAUAAUCUACCUCCAUCUCAGCUUCUGUGUCGUCUACAAUCCAGACGUCCUCAUUUAGAUCUUCCUCCAUAUCGUCAGAAAGAGUAUCACCUAUUUCUAGUUCAUCCAUUCCUUGAUCGGUGCGAUGCCCUUCGCUUUUUGCGUCUUCUUUCCAUGAUCCUUCUUGUUGCAUUUCUUCCUCAUCGAGUGGAUUCGUUUCUGCUUCGACAUGCAUUUCACUGAGAGUGUUUUGCAAAAGAACGUCUACGAAUGAGUCAGGGAAUACUGACCGAAGUUCACUGGCUACUUUGUGAAUUUUCGCUUUCCUACGUUGUAGAGAAUUCGUAUCCUCCAUUCUUUUGAGUGAUCGUGGUGAUGGUGACAACCGAUUAGCUUCCGCUGCUUGUGCAAUCCUGUCAACCGUACCGAAGGCGU